GGGUGUGUAGCCACACCACAGCUGCAUCUGAGGGCAUUUCGGAAUAAGCACAGAUGUCUUUAGGGUGGCAGUGGAGUUCUGAGCCCAUGAAAUGCUGAUAAAGCAUUUUAAGCGACCAUCUCGUUGCUGGGCCGCCAGCACCCAAGCAGUCAGUGGUAUCCAAUACUUGUUAAAAUGAUUUUAUCGCUGUAGCCUCCUGUUCUGCAUUUUCAACUAAACAUCACUGAAAGCAAAGUAUUCCAACGCAAGUCAGUCACUGAAGGAAAGAAGAGGAAGGCGCUGGGAAGUCACACCAUCGUUUCCUAUAAAUUUUCUGGAAGAGAGAAAAUGCUUUGCUUUCUUAAUAGCUGGUUCAGGCACAUGAGGCCUACCGACUCAUCUUCUGAUUCAGUGUCAGACAUUUAUAGCAGCAAGGCCGAGUUCCUGAGCCACUUAAGGAGGCCUGCUGGAUCUAUGCAACGAGACAGCCAAAAGCAGAGCUGAAGUGUCUCUAUGAAUCUGCUAGUUCAUACUUUCUUGGAGUGCGGGCAGGGAACAUGGUGUUUGUUUUAAAACCUUAAGCUGAAUGGUGCUUAAUUCCAGAACUCUGUCAUAGAUGAGCCUGUAACUGCCACAUGCCACAGUAAUUACAGCGGCUAAAACAAAGGCUGUGAUCCCAAAUUACAAUCCGUUCGACGUUCCCGACCGCAUGCCAUCUCCUCACCGUCACCCAGCCCUGAGAAAAGUCUAGCUUUGUACCACAGGGUGACUAACCAACAAACUGGGACAAAAAAAUGGAUGAUAAAUAUGGGAAUCAGACGCAGAGCCAUGACAAAAACACUGCACAUGAAAGAGCCAUGAAAUAUUUUGCAACACAGUGAAUGGGACUGGAAAACAGAAAUUGUGAAGUCUUGUGCAUUACAUACCACAUAAGCUCAUUAAAUAUUUCUUUAAUGAGUCAA